rnacentral:ncRNA from 1 species
UAGAAUGCGUUGAAGAAGGAAAGUAGUAUAAAUUUAGGUUACAGAGAGAAAGCGGUGGUGGAAAGCUUUUACUGAUAAUUUAUUUGAAGUGCCCUUUGGAGCAGAAAUCUGAAAUUUUAGUAUGAUUCUCCAGGUUCGCCUGUUAUAGCGAUAGGGUAUUAUUUGUACCUGAAUGAGUGGGAUAAUUAUAUCCAAUUAGGGUGGAACCACGGAGCGCAUGCUUCGUCUCUAGA